rnacentral:lncRNA from 1 species
GAUCCCCAAUCAUCAUCACCCUCCUCUUCAUCAUCUCUCUCCUCAUCUACAUAUCUCUCUCUCCAUCUCGCCCAAAUCUCCCCUCAACUAAAUCACAAGUCCCAAUGCUCAACCCUACCGUCGAUUACUCCUUCCUCACCUCCCUCCAGAAAUUCCUCUCCUCUCCCUCCGAAUCUCGCCAAUAUCGAGACGAUUCAGUUGCGAAUACGGCGAGUCAGGCUGAUGUGAAGAAACUAGAUGACUUGAUGUGGAGAAGAGAGACUGAAAAGCUCUACGAAGAUUCGGCUUAUCCUGGUGUUUCAGUUGUUAGAGUUUAUGUUUACGAAAUGCCGGAUAAGUUUACUUAUGAUAUGCUGAGAUUGUUCUGGAAUACGUAUCAGGAGACUGUUAAUCUUACAUCCAAUGGUAGCCCCGUUCAUCGACUUAUCGAACAGGUUUUUUAAACUAAUGCAUGAUUUUUUACGCGUUCUUAUGUUAUCUAGUACCUUAAUUAGUCCACAUUGUGUGUAUUUGUAUUAGUUUUCAGUUGACGCGCUUAAUUGAUCUACAUUGUGUUUGAUUGAUCUACAGUGUGUGUAUGCUAUAUAGGUAGAUUAUAAGUCAGGUUCCUCUUGUUUUGGUCUCUGAUUGGAUAACAUGACCUUGUUAUUCUGAUGCAGCACUCGAUUGACUAUUGGCUGUGGGCAGAUUUGAUUGCGCCUGAAUCACAAAGGCUUUUGAAGAAUGUUGUUAGAGUUUACCGGCAGGAGGAUGCUGAUCUGUUUUACAUUCCUUUCUUCACAACAAUAAGUUUCUUCUUGUUGGAGAAACAGCAAUGCAAGGCGCUUUAUAGGGUGUGAGUGCCUUUUCAAAGGCUUAGCUCUUUUGUAUUUUAAAGUUUUUCUAUACCUUGUUAUCUUGAUUUGACUUUGAUUUUUGACUUCGAACUGCUGCCUUUUAGGAGGAAGAAGUUUGUAGCAUUCUGACCUACAAUUUUGUAUCACUAAAUGGUUAACCCAUGAUGAGAAGCUGGGUUCAACUUUGUAUAGUUUAUGAGUUUUCUCAUAGGUUAUAUACUGCGUGACAAGUAAAUCCGGCUCUAAGUUCAUGUGCUUUGGCAGCACCUAUUGUACUUUAUUUUUCUAAAAAAACAAAGGAAAUUUUACAUUUAUUACUUACGCAACUUAUGAUAUGUAGGUUAUAAUACAUUUGUCAACGAAGAUUAAUGACGAAUCAUGAAUGUAGGAUUAGCAUUUAGGUAAUACAUUAUUACUUGCACCAUUUCUUAUGCUUUGAAGUGGCCUAAAUUUAACUUGUGUGCCUAAAAGAGGAUGGGUAGACCAUAGGUAAUCUUGGCUAACACCUUUAAUCCUUGUUAGAUGGUAUUGAUUAUUGGAAACAGUGCUUAAUGAAAUCGUUUAGUUUGUGGAACCUAUCAUUCCGAUGACACUUGCAUUAUCAACUGUUUAGUAAUCUAUACUUUUUAGCUCCUUAGUGGAGCUGAACGGGAAGGUUUGAGGGUCGUGCUAGUUGCAUUAGUAGAUGCUAUUAUGUUUAACUGAGUACGUAGUGAAGAGAGAACAAGCAAAUUUGGGAAAGUCUGUACAUGCAAGUAUCAGUUUGACAAGUAAAUUUCCAUAUUCUCUAAAAAUUCUGAAAGCAUAAUUGCCUUACCCAUGAUGUCUGUGUUGAUGAAGAUUACUGCACUAUAAUCAAGUUGACUUUGCUUUCCGUAGUUGGUGCAAUGGUGCUUACGUUGUUACAGCCGUACAUGUAUAGUAGUAGAUUGCAACAUUUUUUGGAAUUUGCUUUCUGUAUGCAAAAAGUAUCAUCAUUUUAGUUUGACAAGUUCUCAUUAAAUUUAUUAUCACUGCUUUAUCUUAUUUAAUCUGGAAAUGUACAAUGUAGGAAGCUUUGAAGUGGGUAACAGAUCAGCCGGCUUGGAAUCGUUCCGGAGGAAGAGAUCACAUACUUCCAGUUCACCAUCCUUGGUCUUUCAAGUCUGUUCGGAAAUAUAUGAAAAAUGCUAUUUGGUUGCUACCGGAUAUGGACUCCACUGGGAACUGGUUAGUAUCCAGAUCAACUGUAAACACCUGCUCGUUAUAAUGGUAUGUUUCGAGCACAUUGAUAAUUCCACUUAAUGUGUCAGGUACAAGCCUGGACAAGUUUCGCUUGAAAAGGACCUCAUACUUCCUUACGUUGCAAAUCUCGAUCUAUGUGAUGCCAAAUGUUUAUCAGAAAGUGAAUUGAAGAGAAGAACACUCCUAUUCUUUCGUGGGAGGCUUAAAAGGAAUGCUGUAAGAUGUUAUGCUAGUAUAUGAAGUGAUUCGUCUUUAUAACAAUUUGGUUAGUUUAUGUUUUUUAAUUAGACAAUGUGUUUAGAUAUCUAAAUUUGGAGGAUGGCUACAUAUUGAGCUAUAUUACAAAUGUCUCUGAGGUUUCUUCUAUUCUUCGUAUAUUAGUCAAAAUAUUCUUGUAUUAGGUGCAAGGACUUGAGUUACAUGCUACAAGAGUGGACAUCUUCUGAGCCUGCUAUUAGUUUGUGCAAGACAUGGUUAUGAGACUGUAUGAUUCAUCCGGCCUUCAUGAACAGUUCUUCUGUAGCGUCACUAACAUAAAUGACAAUGUUUAUUUUNUAACUAAAAGAAAAGCGUCAAAAAAAGAGAGAGAGCUGUCUACUUUCAAGUUUCAACACUCCAGCUGAAACUAACUCCGUCGCUUCUUCAUCAAAAAUGGCGGGUGGGAGAUCGUACGGAAACCCUAGAUUCAGAUCCCCAAUCAUCAUCACCCUCCUCUUCAUCAUCUCUCUCCUCAUCUACAUAUCUCUCUCUCCAUCUCGCCCAAAUCUCCCCUCAACUAAAUCACAAGUCCCAAUGCUCAACCCUACCGUCGAUUACUCCUUCCUCACCUCCCUCCAGAAAUUCCUCUCCUCUCCCUCCGAAUCUCGCCAAUAUCGAGACGAUUCAGUUGCGAAUACGGCGAGUCAGGCUGAUGUGAAGAAACUAGAUGACUUGAUGUGGAGAAGAGAGACUGAAAAGCUCUACGAAGAUUCGGCUU